GAGGAGGACGCAUAUGUGCGAAGCACAUAUUUAGGAUGCGUCCGAGACCUGCCGCCGAACCAAUGUGAGGGGGCAAUACC
rnacentral:sRNA from 1 species